AAUGUACUCCCUCCGUUUCAAAUUACUCGUCGUAGAAAUGGAUGUAUCUAGAACUAAAAUACAUUUAGAUACAUCCAUACCUGCAACAAGUAAUUCGGAAUGGAGGGAGUAAUAG
rnacentral:pre_miRNA from 1 species